GCUGUGUCGGGUGGUGGCGGGUUUAACGACACAUUUCUAUUCACACGAUCUAACCCAAACAACUUCUAUUGUGGAUUUUUAUCGCGAAUGCCCCACUCCGACAACCACUCCGUGUUAAACUCAAGUUAACAUUAUGACUACGACUGCGAUGCGAGAACGGUCUCGCGCGAACCGUUCGCAUUGCUCCGUCUCCACGGCGGUGGCCCUCUCGGGCUGCGUUAUCUCCUUUAAGUUGUCGAUGCAUCGUCGGUGUAGUCCAUCAGCAGCCGCCAGUCAUUCCGUUCCACUAAAGCGGUGUCCCCACCCGAACUCGCUCAUUUCCAUCGCCAGCCAUUUGUUCCCCGAUACGCGAAUUCUCUCCGUUCUGUCGCUCAGUUUAAUAUGCGCGCGUGCGUGUCGGCCACGCUGCUGUACAUAACUAAUCUGCGACACCCCUUCCUCCCGUUACCUCCAAGCGUUAUGGAAACAACGCAAGGGCGUUGUGACUCGCAGCGGUCCCCGGGGUUCGCAUGUCGCCGUGGGUGAGGUGCGCGUGGAGGUGAACAGCGUCACGGGCGAGACCUCGGCCCCUCGAUGUUGGCAAGGGGCCGAGCCGCCUGGAGGUGACUCCUGCCGUGGGGAGGUUGACACCGCCGCCUCCUGCUGCUGCCACAUCCUGUCGUGUGCGGGGUAUCCCCAAAUCAUCCACAACGCGCCAGAUCUCGCCAGACGUUGGGAAGCUGAGCGGGGCUUGACCCUGGACACGACACUGCGCAAUGGACGGGUGCGGUGCGCGUUGCGGGCAGCAGAGAACGGUGCAGCCAAAUCCACGUCGUUCGUUCGCCAACCCGCACUGCCCAUCUCGCUCGACUUGCCUGGCGAGUUAAGCUCACGACCACGGCGUCACAUCUGCAUCUGUCACGGAAGCAACUGGCGGAUGAGAAAGAGGAUGCGAAACGGCACGAGGAAGAGGAUGGAAAGCCAAUUAAUACAUCGACACUCCAGGAAAAAAGAAUGAGAAGUGAAACCUCAGCGCCCGAGCGAAAUUAAGCAACGGGGAAACCACUGAAGCGUGGGGUUCGCCUACACCUCCAGUGUAUGACCCACUGGACAUGUGUGGGGGAAAAAAAAAGCUUCAUAGCUCAUCGGAUUCUUCCAGUCUAAACAACGUUUCUGGGUCCGUGUAUCGUCCUGGAUUAUUUGAAAUUAACCCAGCAGUGGAAUGACCGUGACUGAUGUUGAUGAUGACUUUCACGUAUUGAUGAGUUCCUUAGGGCGCAGGGUAAUAGCGCAAUGGAUGGAGACAUUUUUUUGGAAUAACAAAGCACGCCUUCACAUUAUAAGACGCACUUUUCUCCCUGACAGUCAAAACAAAAGUUGAGGGUGCGUUUUAUAAUCCGGUGUGAGAGACCAGCUUUGUAUAACUGUAUUUUUAUAACUUUAUUCACAGUGGGCACGAGAUUGGGGGGUGCGCCGUACUUUUUCCCGAACGCCUUUUUAAUCCGGAUGAUCUGCGGUGAUUAGACUCGUGGAAAUAUUUUCUUUACAGCCAGGGCAACAGGGCGAUUGGAAAAUGUCGAGAGACUGAGCUCUAUUGCGGCGUUAAAUAUAAACACACGACUGUUAGAUAAAAAUAGUGUGGCGCAAAGAGGACAUCGUGCUGCAGUGAGCACACGUACUGUACGUGUGCCACUACUACACCGAUGGAUACAAGAAUUCCUGCGCCGUGUUGGUCAAUGGGGUAUUUUAACCAUACUUCACCACUGGGGUUGGUGAAAGGAGGAGGAGGAGGAGGCAUGACCGGCUCUGAUACAUUUAAGAUAAAACUCUUGCAAAAAAAAGAGUCAACAGACUCAGAUUGUUCCGUACAUAUAAAGGCCAUCUUAUUAUUAUGCAACACAUUCUUUCGUGCUAAUAGAUUUACUAACAAUCCUGAACGAAUCAGAAUAGGAGCCAAACGAGUUUACACGCCCAACGCCCAUGUUAAUGUUAUUCACAGCAAUUAUUGACCGGAGACAGAAAUCCAUGAUGGGCAUGAAGGGAUGUGGCAGGACACGUUUCUCUACCCUGCAGGGCGAUGCCGAGCGGGAGAGACUGUCAGUGGCUAUGCCUCGCCACUGUUCAACGACGAAGUCACAGUUAAUUACCACCGCCUGUCUCUGCCUCUCAUGCAUUAUAAAACACAUUAUAAACACUCAGAAGACCAUUGCAACCGACUAAAAGAGACGCCGUGUUUUUUUGUUCUAAAGGGUAUGCACAAAGGGCACACGCACGGUUAAUUAAUUUGUUUGGAUUAAAUAUGGGGGUUGGGGGGGGGCUGAAAUUAAGACUCCUCGAAUGAAAACAAGGAAGCGUUUGUCUUGACGACAGUGUCUAUCUGCUCAGACCGUCAGGACGUUCGUGCAAAUUCCACAUUCCUAUGGCGCACACCACUAUACACAACAACAACCGCCAUUCGCCACUAAGUGGUGGUGACGUCACCACGGCGCC